rnacentral:rRNA from 1 species
UACGGGGGGGGCAAGCGUUGUUCGGAAUUACUGGGCGUAAAGGGUCUGUAGGCGGCCAACUAAGUCAGACGUGAAAUCCCUCAGCUUAACUGGGGAACUGCGUCUGAUACUGGUUGGCUUGAGUGCAGGAGAGGAACGCGGAAUUCCAGGUGUAGCGGUGAAAUGCGUAGAUAUCUGGAGGAACACCGGUGGCGAAGGCGGCGUCCUGGACUGCAACUGACACUGAUGGACGAAAGCCAGGGGAGCAAACGGG